CAAGCUGAGGGAGCCGGCUCCGGCCUUGGGCAGUCCAGAAAGGAGCUCCCACAGUGCAGCGGUGGGCUGAAAGGCGCCUCAAGUGCCGCCAAAGUGGGAGCCCAGGCAGAGGAAGCGCCGAGACCGAGCGAGGGCUGUGAGGACUGCCAGCACGCUGUCACCUCCCGGUUUGCCACAUGGGUAUAUUACCUAAGGCUGCAGUUUAGGCUUCUAAUAUACCCGUCACCCAAGUUGUGAACAUAGUACCCGAUUCUGCUUGAUGUGGAAAAGUGUCCAGAAUUGGCUACAUCUGAAGAGCUGUUACAGCUGUGUUGGAUAUUGCUGAAAAUUCCUAAGGAUGACUCAGAUGACAAAUUAUAUUUGAUAGAGAGUCUAGUGGGAUUUGCAGAGUGGAGCUUCAACCCUGAGAAUGAUUAAGUUAACUGAAGACUCAACAGGGAACGCCUGAGCUGCUUCACGAUGUGGCAUCCCAGUUUCUGUGUCACCCCUGUGGUAAAUUUAUAAAGUAAUCACACUAUUCAGGAAUGAG
rnacentral:lncRNA from 10 species